rnacentral:rRNA from 1 species
CACUCCUACGGGAGGCAGCAGUGGGGAAUAUUGCACAAUGGGCGCAAGCCUGAUGCAGCCAUGCCGCGUGUAUGAAGAAGGCCUUCGGGUUGUAAAGUACUUUCAGCGGGGAGGAAGGCAAUACGGUUAAUAACCGUGUUGAUUGACGUUACCCGCAGAAGAAGCACCGGCUAACUCCGUGCCAGCAGCCGCGGUAAUACGGAGGGUGCAAGCGUUAAUCGGAAUUACUGGGCGUAAAGCGCACGCAGGCGGUCUGUCAAGUCGGAUGUGAAAUCCCCGGGCUCAACCUGGGAACUGCAUUCGAAACUGGCAGGCUUGAGUCUUGUAGAGGGGGGUAGAAUUCCAGGUGUAGCGGUGAAAUGCGUAGAGAUCUGGAGGAAUACCGGUGGCGAAGGCGGCCCCCUGGACAAAGACUGACGCUCAGGUGCGAAAGCGUGGGGAGCAAACAGGAUUAGAUACCCGAGUAGUCCCA